UACGUAGGGGGCGAGCGUUAUCCGGAAUUACUGGGUGUAAAGGGUGCGUAGGCGGCAACGUAAGUCUGUUGUGAAAGGUGAUGGCUUAACCAUCGAAGUGCAAUGGAAACUGCGGAGCUAGAGUGCAGGAGAGGAAAGCGGAAUUCCUAGUGUAGCGGUGAAAUGCGUAGAUAUUAGGAAGAACACCAGUGGCGAAGGCGGCUUUCUGGACUGCAACUGACGCUGAGGCACGAAAGCGUGGGGAGCAAACAGG
rnacentral:rRNA from 1 species